rnacentral:lncRNA from 1 species
GUAAAACUCCCUUUUCAUUUGCUGCCACCUCCGGUUCUGCCCUGGAUUUCAAAGGACACCUCACCAAACGGCCUGGCUGGCAUGAGGUUGGAUGCCUGCUCCUGCUGGGGGCGGGGUGGCGGCAACAGGAGGAGCGGCUCUUGUCUGGUGAUUCUCACGGUCGCCCAGAGAACGCAGGCGUCUCAAGGACAAGCUGCAGACGUGGACUCUCCUGACACCUGGCGGCCACUCGUUGUCUCCAGGGCGCCUCAGUUCUCUCCUGUCUCAGGGGCACAGAUGGGGGCCGCAGAGGAGGCUCACUUGAGACAGAUGGAUGGGAGAAAAACAACAGGAGCUUCUAAGGCAUGCAUGGCGCAUCUACACGAGACCUCAGUGGCGCGGCACCGGGGUGCUGGGCACCACAGCUUCCACAGCGUCCCAGCAGAAGAACAAGGGGCUGGGAGAGAAGGGACACGACAGAGGCCUGGGACUCGAGCCCCCAGAGAUAGGGAAGACGGGCUGGCACAGGCUGGUGGAGGCAAAAGUGUUUCAGCAGGGUUUGCGAUCAGAGUCCUAGGUGCCGACUGUGGGCUGAGAACAGUCUAGAACUGCCAAAUAAUUAAGAAUCGUCCAGCCCUUACUGACAGGGGGUGGGGCAGAGUUUAUCUUGUAUUUCCUUUGUCUCACUGUUUCAGCUCAGAAGCCUCCCUGUGCAGAGUGGUGUGCUUGGGGUGGCAUCUUCCAGCCCCUCGAGAAGCCAGACCUAGGGGCUGCAGCCCAGGGCUUUCGGGGCCUGGCUGUUCGCCGUCUGGAGAGGUGGCUUUCGGGUGCGUCUGUGCAUGUGUGGUCGGCCUCAGGCUCCCCGGAGCGGCAAGCCCGCCAGGCCGGUGGUUUCCUCCCCGGCUCCUUCCCCAGCAGAGCCUGGGCGCAGCUGGGACAUCCCACCCGGGUCAAUCCCUCUUGGCGACACUUUGCCCCUCCUGGAGGAUGUGCUCUGGGGUCCCAAGAGUGAGUCGUUCCUUGGAUUCGGAUCUGAGCUGGAUUCUCCAGAGUUAGCGAAAGCAACGAGUAUGGGCUCUGGUGUUGGGGUUAGAACGUAACAGUAUCGGUUGUAGGGAAGAUAAAACCUUUAGGACUUUCGCCAGCUGUUCUCUACCAAUUAGCCUUGAGGUGAGAUGCUUGGGGUUUUGUGACCCAACAUUUAUUCCCCUCUCAAGGGGAUACUGAGCUCUGAAAAAAAGUUGGGUUUAUCAAUACAGCCAACACUGGGAAGCAAUGUAAUUUUUUUUUUUUUUUUAAUAUACUGGUUUGACUUUUAAAAAUUCAACUCCUUAGCAGUUCCUACUUGCUCUGGCUCUGGUGGGGACUUCUGAAGAAAGUGAGCUCCUGAGGGCCUCUCCUUUAGCUUUCUCUGAAAGGAUGGUGAAAACUUUCUUUCUCCGUGACACAUUAUGGUUUCCCUUUCUCUGCAAACAGCCUCUCAGAUAGAACACACAGAUGCCUGCGCGGAAUGUGCUGGGGAUAAAGAAUGGUUAGGACUCUAAACUCUCACUGCCGAGGGCCCAGGUUCAGUCUCCGGUCAGGGAACAAAGAUCCCACAAGCAGAGCAUGGCCAAAGGAAAAGAAAGACAGAAAAGAAAAAUGUUGCCAUGUCAUAAACAAAGGAUGCUGAGGCCCUCAAUCCAUCAGCCACUACAGCAGCAAAUAGAUGCGGAAACGGUGACAGAUUUUCUUGGGCUCCAAUAUCACUGGGGAUGGUGACUGCAGCCAUGAAAUUAAAAGAUGCUUGCUUCUUGGAAGAAAAGCUAUGACAAACCCAGACAGCAUGUUAAAAAGCAGAGUCAUCACUUUCCUGACAAAGGUCUGUUUAGUCAAAGCUAUGGUUUUUAUAGUAGUCAUGCACAGAUGUGAGAGUUGGACCAUAAAGAAGGCUGAGUGUUAAAAGUUGAUGCUUUUGAAUUGUGGUGCUGGAGAAGACUCUUGAGAGUCCCUUGGACUGACAGAUAUCAAGCAUGUCAAUCCUAAAGGAAAUUAAUCUUGAAAAAUCAUUGGAAGGACUGUUGCUGAAGCUGAAGCUCCAAUACUUUGACCACCUGAUGUGAAAGCCAUUCAUUGGAAAAAACCAUGAUGCUGAGAAAGAUUGAAGACAGUGAAGAAGGGGGUGGCAGAGGAUGAGAUGAUUAGGUGGCAUCAUUGACUUGAUGGGUAUGAAUUUGAACAAACUCUGAGAGAUGAUGAAGGACAGAGGAGCCUGGGGUGCCACUGUCCGUGGGGUCACGAAGAGAAGGACAUGACUUAGCGACUGAACAAGAGCAUCUGCCAGUAACUGAACAACAACCAGGGCAUUUGCCACCUGCCUCUGUGGGGACCGAGUCCUGAGCUGCUGCAGAUGUUGAUCUUCAACCUGCCCUGAAGGGAGUUCUAGGUGGAAAAUAGGAAUGAGCUAUCUUGUGCUUCAGAAAACUGGUGGAACAGGCCUUUAGAUAAUUACAGAUUUUCAGGAACUGAUUUUAUGAGUCCAAUCCUGGCAUCUCCUCAUAUCCAGGCAAGCACUGAAUCGUGGUGACAUCAGCUUCUUGUGACUAGCAGAAAACCUUUUGCAAAGAGAAGCGCCUGACGGUAUGACCUUCCCGUUCAACAGAGUCGCCUCUGCUGGCCUUGCCCCUGCCUCUCUGGAGAAGUUUCUCAGAGCUCUGGCUGCUGUCCUCAUUUGGCCCAAAUAAAACUGAACUUGAAACUCUCA